rnacentral:rRNA from 1 species
CGGCGACCGGCGCACGGGUGAGUAACACGUAUCCAACCUGCCUUCAGCUCGGGGAUAGCCCUCUGAAAGGAGGAUUAAUACCCGAUGCGGUUAUUUGCAGACAUCUGCUUGUAACUAAAGAUUUAUCGGCUGAUGAUGGGGAUGCGUAUGAUUAGCUUGUUGGCGGGUAACGGCCACCAAGGCGACGAUCAUUAGGGGUUCUGAGAGGAAGGUCCCCCACAUAGGAACUGAGACACGGUCCUAACUCCUACGGGAGGCAGCAGUGAGGAAUAUUGGUCAAUGGCCGUAAGGCUGAACCAGCCAAGUAGCGUGAAGGAUGACUGCCCUACGGGUUGUAAACUUCUUUUACGGGAGGAUAAAGUGUGCCACGUGUGGCAUAUUGCAGGUAUCCCGUGAAUAAGCAUCGGCUAAUUCCGUGCCAGCCGCAGC